rnacentral:rRNA from 1 species
UACGGGGGGGGCAAGCGUUGUUCGGAAUUACUGGGCGUAAAGGGCUCGUAGGCGGCCAACUAAGUCGGAUGUGAAAUCCCCCAGGCUCAACUUGGGAACUGCAUCCGAUACUGGAUGGCUUGAAUUCGGGAGAGGGAUGCAGAAUUCCAGGUGUAGCGGUGAAAUGCGUAGAUAUUCGCAAGAACACCAGUGGCGAAGGCGGCUCACUGGCCCGAGUACUGACGCUGAGGCACGAAAGCGUGGGGAGCAAAC